rnacentral:rRNA from 1 species
GACGAACGCUGGCGGCGCGCUUAAUACAUGCAAGUCGAACGGGGACCUCGGGCUUCGGCCUGGGGGGAGAGUGGCGAACGGGUGAGUAACACGUGAGGAACCUGCCCCGGAGACCGGGAUAACCCAGGGAAACUUGGGCUAAUACCGGAUGCCCUCGUCGGACCGCAUGAUCUGACGAGGAAAUGGAUUCCGCUCCGGGAUGGCCUCGCGGCCUAUCAGCUUGUUGGUGAGGUAACGGCUCACCAAGGCGACGACGGGUAGCUGGUCUGAGAGGACGACCAGCCACACUGGGACUGAGACACGGCCCAGACUCCUACGGGAGGCAGCAGUAGGGAAUAUUGGACAAUGGGGGGAACCCUGAUCCAGCCAUGCCGCGUGUGUGAAGAAGGCCUUUUGGUUGUAAAGCACUUUAAGCGAGGAGGAGGCUACCGAGAUUAAUACUCUUGGAUAGUGGACGUUACUCGCAGAAUAAGCACCGGCUAACUCUGUGCCAGCCGCCGCAGUAAAAC